UGAACGCUGGCGGCAGGCCUAACACAUGCAAGUCGAGCGAGAAAGCACUUCGGUGCGAGUACAGCGGCGGACGGGUGAGUAACGCGUAGGAAUCUACCUGGUAGUGGGGGACAACAUGGUGAAAACCAUGCUAAUACCGCAUACGCCCUAAGGGGGAAAGCGGGGGAUCUUCGGACCUCGCGCUAUUGGAUGAGCCUGCGUAAGAUUAGCUAGUUGGUGGGGUAAAAGCUCACCAAGGCGACGAUCUUUAGCUGGUCUGAGAGGAUGAUCAGCCACACUGGAACUGAGACACGGUCCAGACUCCUACGGGAGGCAGCAGUGGGGAAUAUUGCGCAAUGGGCGAAAGCCUGACGCAGCCAUGCCGCGUGUGUGAAGAAGGCCUUAGGGUUGUAAAGCACUUUCAAUUGGGAAGAAAGGUUGUACGUUAAUAGCGUGCAGCUGUGACAUUACCUUUAGAAGAAGCACCGGCUAACUCC
rnacentral:rRNA from 1 species